ensembl:lncRNA
CCGAAAUCUGUAUAACUAAAUACAACAAAGCAAAAGGAUGACUUUAUUGCAAAGGUUCCGACCUGCAAGCUGGGAAACUCAAGGCUACAGGAGCAAUGAGUUCUGAGCUGCUCACAGACUAAGGGAUUUUUAUGGGAUAAAUACGGAAGUUGUCUGGCUUUUACAGCUGAUUGGUUCCAUGGUGGUCAUUUUUCUUACUUUGGGUCGGGUUAGCUGAGUCAGGAGCACAAGGAAGUCCAGAGAGGGUGUGAACAGACUUGGUGUUUGGGGAUUGGCCCAUGUCCUCUGCUAUAAAUUCCUGUAGGAAUUUCCCUGGUGCGCCUGUGUUCACUCACCGUCUCCAUUUUGUCCUUGACAUAAGUGACUCCACUUGAGUUGUAUCUCCUCAGUUCAACCACAGCCAACCUUUGCCUCAAGGUAAAUUGAAGAUGAAAAUAAACACACAAAAACUCAAUAAUCACCUUUUCAAUUCCAAAUAUUGGUCUUUGAAGUCUGUGUCAGAAACAAUAGAUGGGAAAACUAGGUUUUCCAAUUCAAAAGCAAGGCGAUUCAAGCUACAGAAUGAGGUAAAUCUUGAUGAAGGGGUGACUUAUUGCUUCACAAAAGGAAGAGAAGUUUCUGGAGAGUUGGUGGUGGGAGUCCAGAGAUAAAGGGAAAAGAGGCAAACAGGGUGGAGGGAGAGUGUUCCUGGGGAUCAGAGAUUCUUGAUCUGCCUUCUGCUCUUUGGUUCAAAACGUUGAAAGACCACCGGAUAGGUUUCCUGUCCCGAGCAUAGAGGUUUAUUCCUACUUCCUGCCUGGAUCUCUGGGAAGAGAGGACCUUAAAGUCCCAUGCUGACAUGGAACAGACCCAAUAAAGUGUGAACAGUGGUCUGGCAGGUCUGGGAAGAGAAAAGGCACUGAGAUUGCCACACAAAGGACACCUCACACGCCUGCACAGGCCACCCCACCCAACUCCAAUCCUUGGGGAACUGGAAAGUGCCGGGAGGGACAAUGGAGAGAAGGCCAGAGUCUGGAUAAGGAGGGUCCUGGGCAGAGUCUCACCUGCUAAGCUUCCCCAUCUCUUGGCCAAGGGACCCCUGGACACUGUGGGACAUCAGCACCAUCCACCAGUUAGGAGCUCAGACUUGAAGCCUGGCUUUCUCCCCCUCUGCUGGCUAAAUUUAUAAUCCGACCUCCCAGAUAUUCCUGGUGCAGCCACUCCCUGGACCACACUUUGAGAACUCUGGGCUACAUACGACUGUGGCUGGUGGCCGUGGGGUAGAAAAGCAGGUAACUGGAGAUGAAGAGAUCAAGGAACCAAGAGGCCUGGAUGUGCGGUGACUCAUUCAGAUGGCUGCUGAGGUCACUCAGGAUGGACACCAGACAAGACAGAGAAAAGGACCAUGAGCCAGAAGGCAAAGUCAUCAGUGAAUGGGAGAGGCACAGCGAGGGACAAAGGACAAAAGGCUCUUCAUGACGGAGAGGAGCUAGGGUGAAGGGAGGGAUUUAACCUGACGGCAAGAGUCUUAUAGGAGCAGGAGUAUUUCAAAAAUACUGGAAAGUAAAGGUCUGGCAUUGGCUUUGAAAAGCAAUUUAGGUACUAAGAGAAUAUGUAAGGGAAUAUUCAUAAUGAGAGAAUAAGAAGCUUCCGUUUAAGAAAGCUGCUGGAAAAGCCGUGUUCUCAGGGGAGAAAUUAAUCUUGAUUAAAGAGUAAGAUACAUCCUGUAAAGAAAUCCAGGAUGUGGGAGAGUUAUUAGAUCAUGGAGAAAGUUCCAGAGGACACGGUGAAAAGAAGUGAGGAAUGAGAACCUAGAGAAGAGAACAGGGAGCACAGAGCAUUCUGAGACUGAGAAUUUGGAAGAAUGAAGUUGGCCAGAGGGGUUGACGUUGUGGGCAAAGAUGGAGGAAACAGGACGUGAGGCACAGGAUAACGUAAUCCUGACAAACUCCAGCGAAGAGCGACUUUCUUCCCCACUAGCCUUGUGGAGUGCUCCCCUGGACUGCCGUGGCAUAGAAAAUUCCAAGACGAGAGACGACUUGCAAAGAGAGGCCCAACUGUGCCAGCUGAGAAUGGAAAAUGGAUGGAGUAGAAUGAAUGAGCCCAGGGGGAACCAGCUAACCCACAGAAUUGUGAGAAAUUACUGUUACUUUUUAAGUCACUAUGUUUUGGGGCAUUUCUUAUGCAGCAAUAGAUAGCUGAUAAAGAACUCUAGGGAGAUGUUGGGGUGUCUGUAGAGCUACCAAUCAUGUUGUUGGUCUAAUGCAAUAUUUCUGAUACUUGGGAGACAAUGAAUAAGACAAGCACAUUUUUAGGUUCUUUCUAUAUAUCAUCGAGUCCUUGGAUUUAUUGGUCUUUUCUGAAAGCCACUUUCAAAGGUG